rnacentral:lncRNA from 1 species
AGCAACAACAUAUUUCAUUUCUUUUUUCAGGUGGUGGGGAUUUUUUUUUUCCAGUCUGGGGAUUGAACCCAAGGCCUUGUGCAUGGAUAUUUUUGAUCCUUCGGUGUCUGAAUCCAGGGAUGGAUAUGAGGGCCUACUGUGAUUAUCCUUGUACACAUGAGGAAGCUGAGACUUACGUGUUGAGUUUGCUGAAGUACCAGAUUCUGAAUGUGAGCCUUGGCAGAUUCAUCUUGUGCACCACAUUUUGUAAAUACUACAGACUGAUAUCAGGAAAGACCAUCAUGUCCUACAAGUUAGAACUCCAGUGACAUUUCACUCCCAGUGGAGAAUGUGUCUAACUCCAAGUCUGAAGCUUAUCUCAGCAGUCGAUUCACUGAUCUUCCUUAUACCACAUGAUUUUCAGAGCUCUUAGGGCAUCUGAUAGCCUUUUGUACAUUUGUAGCAGGGUGCUUGAUAUAUUGGUUCGUGCUAAAUUGUUAUUUCAUGAAUGAACAAAUAAAUGAACACUGAAGUAAAGGGCUACUGUUGUAGCCACAAUAUCAAAUGAAGUUUUCCUUUAAAAUUCCCUGAGAGUGACUAACAGGAUGAUUUUCCCACAUCUGAAUCACAAUGAGACAUUUUCAAGUUAUCCUGAAACCUGAAAAAGUAGUGCACAUUGUUGGAUAAUUCGAUGCCAAACUAAAACCUGGAGUCAAUUACGAUGAAUUUAAAAACUAUAGGCAAGAAUUAUGUAUAUCAAAGUGCAUAAAUGUAUUCUACUGUCAUGUAUAACUAUUUAGA